rnacentral:lncRNA from 1 species
AGACAGCUCAUCAUAGUGGGGAAGGGCAGACAGCUUGUCACAGAGGGGAAAUGCAAUGGCAGCAGCUUUGUGUCAGAGGGCUGUUCACACGGUAGUAGAUAAAAGUGGAGAACAUGGCUGGAAUCUUCACAAGAUUGCUCCUAGUGAUCUACUUCUGCCAGGCCUCACACGAAAGAAGAAAAAAAACUAUCUUGCUUUUGGGAAGAAAACCAACUAAACCAAAAAACCCGUCAAGCUUAGUGGCUCGUGUGCACGAUUCCCUCCUGACAGGAGCUGAGUACUCAGCAGCCCUGAGCCCAAGCUGAAUCGGAAGUGUCAGCAAACCCCUGCAGACACAGGGAACUGCAAACUGCUUUUUCUGAUGUCAGGACUUCUCCUCAGGGAGCUCACUCUGCUGCAUUUGCUCAUGGCCAGAAGACUCAUCCGGCAGGAGAAAGGUAUAUGGGUUGCUGUCUACUACUGUUGGCUUUAACAUCAACAGCUGAGUGGCAAGUCAAACACGUGGACACCACCUUGUAUUCUGAAAUUCACUGAUCCAACAGUGUGGGAAUCUAGAUGAACAGGGAGGAAGCCUGUGUGUGAGAGUUCUACCAUCCCCGCCCCUGCCUCUCCCAUUCUGCUCAUAGAUGUCGAAAUUGCAAAGAGCAGAUGGCUGGUUCCUGCCCUGAUGGCCUCUGGCCUCGGACACCCCGCCAUGACUUGCCCUGCAUUACAAAAGCUCAUCAGCAAAUGUGCUCUGGGGACGCUGACUUGGAUGCUAUGUUCUAACAGGUAUUCCUGAUUAUUCCUACAGAGGGUCACACCUGGGUGUCCUCAAGGGAGAAGAGAGAGUCAUGGCCUGAGUCUGUGCUCAACUCUGAAUGAAUUAUGGGAGGCAGUGCUCCAAGUUCACCUUUGCCUUAAGAAUACAUUGGUAUGCUCACAAAGCCCACCACAUAGCAGAUGAUUAGACAGCUUUUUUUUUUUCCAGCUGAAUUUACAGAAUAAAACUGGCUCAGUGGCCUUUGAGGGUGACAUGGAUACAGAACUGGCCUAUUUCAGUCAUAAGUAAAAUCAUUCUUUCCUGGAUGAACUAAGCUCAAAUUAAAGAAGUGAUUGUAAAGAUUAAAAGAAGCAAGAAUGUAAAAAGACUGACCUUGGCAUCCAGGAGCCUGCUAAGAAAUACCUCUUGGACCUUCCUGCUCUCCCAAAGAAAGUAAGCAAGCCACAACACCAGCAUCAAACAAGAGCAGUUCCUUCCUUCCACCAGAACAAUCUGCUGAAAUAUCCAACCUCAGGACUGGAGAUUGGCUGCCAGACUAGAGCCAAGUGGGCAAACCAGCAACAGCCACUCAGGACAGCCAGAAGGUAGCUGCUUGGGCACACAUAUGCCUUGUUUGAUGGUAUUCACACUAUUGUCUGUGUUCAGACACAAUGAUGAAAGGACUUUCUUUUGAACUGUUUCAGCUACACAAAUAAGAGGGGACAAUAUGAUAUCAUUUUCAAAUGGCAUAAAAUUAAAUCAUCUGAGAAAAUUAAUGAAAAAUAUCUAAGCUUCAGACAGAGAAAACUGUACCUCUUAGGGGACAUCAAGAACACUAGAGAAAAAGGAAGGGAAGAUUCAUUGGCAUCAAUUUCAGAUAACCUUAAAGGGAAGAGCAUUAGUGAAGAGCAGAGGUGAAGGGCAGCAUACCCCAGCAUGGAUUUAACAUAAAAUGAGGAAAAAAAAAGACACAUGAAAAACUAGUAACAAAUGCACAAAGACUAUUCCCUCAGCCAUUGGGGAAAUGCCAAUGAGAACCACAAUGAGAUUGAUUCUUAUCGUACCCUAGACAGAACGACUUGCUUCAUGAAAACCAAUGACAACAAGUGCUGGUAUGCAUUGCACCAACUGAAGACCUCAGCCCCCAAAAGACUUUCGCAGGUAAAACAAACGUUCUUCAUCCUUACUUUUCACUGUGAGGUACAUGGACUUGCUGACGUCUGCGCCCACAUCGUUGCUGACCUUGCAGAGGUAGUAGCCACUGUCUUCUUCUACAACAUGCUUGAUCAAGAGUGAGCCAUUACUCAGGACCUGGAUUCGGCCAUUCAAGGCAAUUGGCUGGAACUGGGGGACCCCAGCACCUGGGAGGAGAGAAGCACAAAAGGAAACCAUGACGCUGAGGAGUGAUGAUUCAUCUUUACUGGACAUGUGACUAGAUUCAGAAACACCUAAGGCUUCCCUCUGGGAGUGUCUGUGAAACAUCCAGAGAGCUUUAGACGAAAAGGGAAGGGCUACGUGUAUGGCACUGUCAUCCUAUUGACUAGGGCCCUAGACUGAACACAGGGGUCAAAGGACAGCCAGAGUUAUAGCUACAGGGGCAUACCAUGUCUACACCAUGACAGACCAACCACAUUAUGUCAAACUGUGAGCAAAACUCAACCUCCUUCUCUAACUUGCUGCUUAUAUUUGGUUUCACAAUAGUGAAACAAGAGAGUGGGGGUAGAAUGAGAAUGAACACAUGGACACAAGAUUGAUUGAUUCCUAGCACCUGUACACAGUCAGGUCCAGGUGUUUGUUUCUAUAAGCCUAGCACUGAAGAGCCAAAGACAGAAAUGGAGGAUCUCUGGACAGGCUGAGCAGCCAGUGCUUUGGGAUUGGCCAGUCCCAUAUCCAAGAAGUCCCCCUGGAACAAUAGGCUAGAGAGCAAAUCAGGAAGAUAUUCACUGUUGACUUCUGGUUUCUACUAGUAUCUAUAUGUGCAGAUAAAUAAGUGUUGAGUAACAAAGUGGACCCCCAAAUGGCAGUGAUGCUGAUAAUGUCCUGAGACAACAGUCCAAGAACAACCCAGGCAGGACUCUGACCCAAUAAACAGAAGGAUUCCUAGUGGGUAAACAAAGAUCUAAAUUCAGCAUUCCUCAGGGCAGGUUUCAGUUAGUCAGGAAAGCCACUACUUUCCAUCUCUACUACCAAUGGUCAACUACCUCCAGCAAAGAGCUUCUAUACCUGAUUAGCCCAAACAUCCUGCAACAGAUCAAAGUCCCUACAAGAACUCCAGGCCUUUCUAGCUCCCAUACUGGCUCCUGUUGCUACCCACCCCAACAAAACUGAUAAGCAGCUCUACCCUCUGAAGCAGCCUGGCAGCUUGUCCCCAAUAAAUUGUUCUUUCUACCC